UGGCGGACGGGUGAGUAACGCGUGGGUAACCUGCCCUGUACAGGGGGAUAACAGUCAGAAAUGACUGCUAAUACCGCAUAAGCGCACGAGGAGACAUCUCCUUGUGUGAAAAACUCCGGUGGUACAGGAUGGGCCCGCGUCUGAUUAGCUGGUUGGCAGGGUAACGGCCUACCAAGGCAACGAUCAGUAGCCGGUCUGAGAGGAUGAACGGCCACAUUGGAACUGAGACACGGUCCAAACUCCUACGGGAGGCAGCAUG
rnacentral:rRNA from 1 species